UGAGGAAUAUUGCACAAUGGGCGAAAGCCUGAUGCAGCAACGCCGCGUGAGGGACGAAGGCCUUCGGGUUGUAAACCUCUUUUCUGAGAGACGAGACAAGGACGGUACCUCAGGAAUAAGUCUCGGCUAACUACGUGCCAGCAGCCGCGGUAAGACGUAGGAGGCGAGCGUUAUCCGGAUUGACUGGGCGUAAAGCGCACGCAGGCGGCUUCGUUAGUCGGAUGUGAAAGCUCCUGGCUUAACCGGGAGAGGCCAUUCGAUACUGCGAGGCUUGAGGUUGGAAGAGGGGUGUGGAAUUCCCGGUGUAGUGGUGGAAUGCGUAGAUAUCGGGAGGAACACCUGUGGCGAAAGCGGCACCCUGGUCCACACCUGACGCUGAGGUGCGAAAGCGUGGGUAGCAAACAGG
rnacentral:rRNA from 1 species